rnacentral:lncRNA from 1 species
CCCUUCCGGACUGGCCCCCAGCGUCCGCGGCCCCACGGCCCUCUCCCUUCCCGCACCCGGGACUGCACGCCCUCCACCGCCUGGCUCGAGCCCUGCUCUUCCCGGCUUACUGGGCCCUGGACCGGCUGCUGGGCUGCUGCGCGCCGACCGCGCGCCCGAGCGGCCUGCGGCGGCUGAAAGCCGCUGCCGGCGCUGGGGCCGCGCUGCUGCUGCUGCUGCUGGGCGGCCUGCCCCCGGCCCUGCUCGGGCUGCCGCUCUGGCUGCUCCUGCAGACCUGGCGCCGCCCCUUCUGCUACCAGCCCCCGCCGCAGUGCUGGGAGCCCCCCGCGCCCUGGCGCCCCCCGGCCGAGCCCGCGCGCUGCUUCAGCUUCCUCAGCGCCAACCUGUGCCUGCUCCCCGACGGGCUGGCGCGCUUCAGCAGCUUGGAGCACAGCCAGCGGCGGGCCGAGGCUGUGGGCGCCGCGCUGCUCGCCGGCCUGCGGCCCUCGCGCUGUGGGGCCACUGGCAGCGGUCCGCCGGGGCCGGGGGCGCCCCGCGGAGUGCUGACAGCCGAGGUGCCGGCAGGUCUGGAAUUCGUGUGCCUGCAGGAGGUGUUCGACCUGCGCUCGGCGCACCGCCUCGUGAGCCGCCUGGCGCCCAGUCUGGGCCCGGUGCUGCACGACGUGGGCUCGUGUGGCCUGCAGCCCGGGCCGCACCUCAAGCUGCUCGGCAGCGGGCUGCUGCUGGCCUCGCGCUACCCGCUGCUGCGCGCCGCCUUCCGGUCCUUCCCCCACGCACGUCGCGAGGACGCGCUGGCCUCCAAGGGACUGCUUUCCGCACAGGUACCUGCCCAACCGCCGCGGCGCCUCCUGGCGGGGAGAGGGCUGGCGUGGGCUCGAACUGGCGACGGUUGCUGGGGCCCUCCGUGGUGUUGCAGGCGCAGGUGGGCAUCCUGGACGGGCGCCGCGUCGUGGGCUUCCUGCACUGCACGCACUUGCAUGCGCCGAGUGGUGAGCCCGAGGACGGGAUCGUCGGCGCGUGGGCAGGCCGUCUGGCCUCUCCGCGCCCCCGACCGUUGGUUCACUGCCCGCGGCACCGCGAGCCCCGGGGAGGGUGGGUGCGGGGGGGGGGGCGGGCGGGGAGCGCGGCCCCGCUGAGCCUUCCGUUCCCGCCCUCGCAGAGGACGGGCCCUUGCGCUGUAAACAGCUGACGCUCCUACUGGACUGGAUCGAGCAGUUUGAAGCCGAGAGCCGCGAGAGUGGCGAGGCCGUGGCCUUCAGCGUGCUCCUGGGCGACCUAAACUUCGACAACUGCUCCUCAGGUGAGGGCAGGCUGCGGCGGGGCGGGGGCGGGGCGGCCUGGCCCCGCCCACCACGCGCUGAUCUCGCCCCGCAGACCACGCGCAGGAGCAGGAGCACCAGCUCUUCAGCCACUUCCGGGACCCCUGCCGGCUGGGCACGCGCCGGGAUCAGCCCUGGGCUCUGGGUACGGGGGCAACCGGGUGGGGAGCCGACCUGGGUGCGGUUCGAGGGCCGCGGCUGCCGCUGACACCGCCCUCCGCCCGCCCUCCCCCAGGCACAAUACUGAGCACCUCCAGCCUCCGCCACUCGGUGGCCUGCUCCCCGGAGAUGUUAAGGAGGUGAGUGGCGACCUGGGGGUCAGACGCCGCCCGGAACGCCGGGGAGUCCUGGCCUUGGUGACACCACCCCUCCUCAGGGCCCUGGAGCAGGAGGAAGGGCGCCGCCGCUACCUGGCGGGCCCUCUGGGCGGAGGCCGCCGGGCUGAGCCCUGGCGGGGCCGGCGCCUGGACUACAUCAUGUACCGGGGAG